AAGGAGUCUAACAUAUCUGCGAGUAUGUUGGUGUCAAAACCGAGAGCGCAAUGAAAGUGAACGUAGGAGCCACGCGCAAGCUGCAGCUUCGACCGAUCUGGAUCUUUAGUGAUGGAUUUGAGUAAGAGCAUAUCUGUUGGGACCCGAAAGAUGGUGAACUAUGCCUGAGUAGGGUGAAGCCAGAGGAAACUCUGGUGGAGGCUCGUAGCGAUUCUGACGUGCAAAUCGAUCGUCAAAUUUGGGUAUAGGGGCGAAAGACUAAUCGAACCAUCUAGUAGCUGGUUCCUGC
rnacentral:misc_RNA from 1 species